UGUUCCCGUUGGUUGUGGUUGACUGGGUGGAGGCCUGGCCUGGUAUGGUGCUCAUCUGAAUGCUGCUUGUACUUGUAUGGCUUCUUCAUGCGCAAGAACCAAGCACACCAAUUGAGGAGGAUGACUCGGACCUGGAUGAAGAGAUGAGAUGAGAUGAAUCAAAACCAGAAAGAGAGGCAAGAUUUUAAAAGAGUCUGCAGGCAGCAGGAAAACCAGCAGGGCCAGUCCAGAGAUGAGCACGCAGGGGAUGAGCAGGUUGAGACCGUAGUAAAGUGUCCUGCGGCGCAUGGUGACCGUGAAUGUCACAUCAGGACAAACUGAGAGGUAGUGUGGACAGAGUUAAAGAAGCUAAAGUCAAGAAAGAAAC